AGCUUGCUUUUUCUACAUCUAGUGGCACACGGGUGAGUAACGCGUAAACAACCUGCCCUACGGAUGGGGGCAACAGCUGGAAACGGCUGCUAAUACCGAAUACGUUCCGAAAGUCGCAUGACUGUCGGAAGAAAGGAUGGCCUCUAUUUAUAAGCUAUCGCCGGAGGAGGGGUUUGCGUCUGAUUAGCUAGUUGGAGGGGUAACGGCCCACCAAGGCGACGAUCAGUAGCCGGUCUGAGAGGAUGAACGGCCACAUUGGAACUGAGACACGGUCCAGACUCCUACGGGAGGCAGCAGUGGGGAAUCUUCCGCAAUGGACGAAAGUCUGACGGAGCAACGCCGCGUGAGUGAUGACGGCCUUCGGGUUGUAAAGCUCUGUUAAUCGGGACGAAAGGCCUUCUUGCGAAUAGUUAGAAGGAUUGACGGUACUGGAAUAGAAAGCCACGGCUAACUACGUGCCAGCAGCCGCGGUAAUACGUAGGUGGCAAGCGUUGUCCGGAAUUAUUGGGCGUAAAGCGCGCGCAGGCGGAUUGGUCAGUCUGUCUUAAAAGUUCGGGGCUUAACCCCGUGAUGGGAUGGAAACUGCCAAUCUAGAGUAUCGGAGAGGAAAGUGGAAUUCCUAGUGUAGCGGUGAAAUGCGUAGAUAUUAGGAAGAACACCAGUGGCGAAGGCGACUUUCUGGACGAAAACUGACGCUGAG
rnacentral:rRNA from 1 species